AAAGUUUUCUAUUCUGACAUCUCAUACUAGAUAUAGAGAGAGUGAGAAAACUCCAAAAGAUUACGAGAUAAUUUUAAAAAUUUACCGCAUGAUGUGCAGUUUUCUUCUACUAUGAAUUCAGGUACGCUUCCGAUUUAGUUUUACAUUUCUUUAAUUUGAUAUAAGCAUGACUUCUUUAUUGAGAUUCAGUUUUUAAAUUUAUUUUAUUUCCUACAAUAUUCCCUCA
rnacentral:lncRNA from 1 species